rnacentral:misc_RNA from 1 species
GAUGAAGAACGCAGCGAAAUGCGAUAAGUAAUGUGAAUUGCAGAAUUCCGUGAGUCAUCGAAUCUUUGAACGCACAUUGCGCCCUUUGGUAUUCCGAAGGGCAUGCCUGUUCGAGCGUCAUUAUCACCCCUCAAGCCCUCGGCUUGGUGUUGGACGGUUUGGUGGAGGCCCCCUCGGGGGCUCCUGCCCCUCCCAAAGACAAUGACGGCGGCCUCGUUGGACCCCCGGUACACUGAGUUCUUCACGGGACACGUAUCGGACACAUGGGUUUACGGGACACGGUCUGCCUCCCCUCAGGGAGAAUCUUUCUAAGGUUGACCUCGGAUCAGGUAGGGAUACCCGCUGAACUUAAGCAUAUCAAUAAGCGGAGGA